rnacentral:rRNA from 1 species
AUGGGGCGCAAGCCUGAUGCAGCCAUGCCGCGUGUAUGAAGAAGGCCUUCGGGUUGUAAAGUACUUUCAGCGGGGAGGAAGGUGUUGAGGUUAAUAACCUCAGCAAUUGACGUUACCCGCAGAAGAAGCACCGGCUAACUCCGUGCCAGCAGCCGCGGUAAUACGGAGGGUGCAAGCGUUAAUCGGAAUUACUGGGCGUAAAGCGCACGCAGGCGGUCUGUCAAGUCGGAUGUGAAAUCCCCGGGCUCAACCUGGGAACUGCAUUCGAAACUGGCAGGCUAGAGUCUUGUAGAGGGRGGUAGAAUUCCAGGUGUAGCGGUGAAAUGCGUAGAGAUCUGGAGGAAUAGCCGGUGGCGAAGGCGGCCYCCUNGGACGAAGACUGACGCUNCAGGUAGCGAAAGCGNGGGGAGCAAACAGGAUUAGAUACCCUGGUAGUNCCACGCCGUAAACGAUGUCCGAUUUGGAGGUUGUGCCCUUGAGGCGUGGCUUCCGGAGCUAACGCGUUAAAUCGACCGCCUGGGGAGUACGGCCGCAAGGUUAAAACUCANAUGAAUUGACGGGGGCCCGCACAAGCGGUGGAGCAUGUGGUUUAAUUCGAUGCAACGCGAAGAACCUUACCUGGUCUUGACUUCCACAGAACUGGCAGAGAUGCCGGGGUGCCUUCGGGAACUGUGAGACAGGUGCUGCUGGCUGUCGUCA